rnacentral:lncRNA from 1 species
GCGAGUUAGAACCACUCUUUCGGCAAAAACGACCAGAAUUCUAGAAUAAAGACAACGCAGACUUAUUCGAGAACGCUGUUUGAAACUUACCUUUCAGCAGAAGUGAUGGGCAGAGGAGAACUCUAAGGCUUCCACGAUUUCGGAGAGAACACACUUCAAGGGCACACCGCGCGAAACUUAGUGCUUAAAUGACGCGACCCGAAAGAAAUUAACUCUAACUAGAGGCUAACAAACGAAUUUAGCUAAAUUUUAGUUUUAAGUACUUCGUUUGUUUACCCUCGACUUUCAGUUUUUGCUUGAACGGGUUCAAAAACUGACAAGUGCUGCUUCAACUUGCUCUGGCGAGCACGCGUAAAAUUACAUAACAGCUGUGAUCGGAGAUUUGAACCUUACUUUGGCGGGAACUGUUAUGUUUAGUCUGUGUUGUCAAGUCGCUUUAGAUUUUCUCUCUACCUAUAUUUACGAAGUUAAUUUUACUCAAGUUUUACUUAAAGAUGGAUUCUCCGCCAGAAUUGUCCCAGGAUUUAUCGGAAGCACAAGAGUAUUUCCGACAGUAUUUCGAGACAGCUGAACUUAGAUGGCAACAGCUCAAAGAGUGCGAAGUGAAAAUUGGCCGUUUGGAAGAUGAAAUGCGAACAUUUGAGAAGAGAGAAAAUGAUUGGAAAGAACGGAAUGAGCAAAGCCAGGCUCUGAUCCUCACCCAACUAGAGCACAUUAACGAAUUAACUCAAGACUCGAUUAAUGCACAUGAUCUGAAAAAAACUCUGGAGGCAAAGGAACUGAUGUACCAAGUUGAAAGGAGUAAGUUAGAGACUGAGAGAGACGCUACUAUUUGUGCAUUAGAAACCGAGAAAAAAAUUCUCAUGGAAAAAUACGAAAAGGAAUCAGCCGUUAUGGUAGAAAAAUUGGCCUUUUUAGAACAAGAGAAACUGGAGACUUCUCGUAAGACGGAGCUGGAACGUCCAGCCAUGAUUGAAGAACUCUCAGCUAAAAUUGCCCAGAAUGGCACGGAGAUCUCCCAGCUCACUGCUAAGCACGCUGUUGAAAAGGAGAGACUUGAGGAAACCAUUGAAGACUACAAGCGGAUGCUCUUUGACCAUCGCGAAAAAAUCAACGCUUUAAUCAACACCCAUCAGAAGACGCUGGCAGAAACAGAUCAGUACUUCGGACAAGAAACCAACAGUCUGAAGCAGGAAAUUCAUUCGCUCCAGAACCAACUCAAUCAACAGAUCCGUAAAAACGUUGCGUUGAACGAUGAACUUCAACGCUCCAAUAAAAUCAGGGAGGAAUUGAGCGUGAGACUCCGAGCGGAGCGAGAAAUCCAAAAUAAACUUAAAGAUGCUCCUGGUUUUCAAGGCGCUCAAAGUCGUCCCCUGCAGGAGAGCUCCCUCGGGAACCGGGUGUCGCUUCCGUCGCCGAUCUUGACAGCGGCGCAUCCCUUCGACACGGGCCGCACCCUUCCCACCCCUGCCACCACGUUUCCCGCCCCCUCUCAUCUACCCCGGCCCCGGAGGACGCUGGCGACCCGGGAGUGUCGGAGGUCACUGAUGCCCUCGCGUUGCAGAGCCUCUCGUCACAGUUGCGCCCGGAGAAGCCGAAAGCGGGAGCUCCCGAAAGAAGGAGCUUCAUCGAGGGAAGAGACCCCUCCGCUCUGUCCGACGAGGAGAACGCUUCAUCUUACCCCAUGA